UUGCCUACGGGAGGCAGCAGUGAGGAAUAUUGGUCAAUGGGAGAGAUCCUGAACCAGCCAAGCCGCGUGAGGGAAGACGGCCCUAUGGGUUGUAAACCUCUUUUGUCGGAGAACAAAACCCGGGACGUGUCCCGGACUGCGUGUAUCCGAAGAAAAAGCAUCGGCUAACUACGUGCCAGCAGCCGCGGUAAUACGUAGGGAGCGAGCGUUGUCCGGAUUUACUGGGUGUAAAGGGUGCGUAGGCGGCCCUGCAAGUCAGAAGUGAAAUCCAUGGGCUUAACCCGUGAACUGCUUUUGAAACUGCA
rnacentral:rRNA from 1 species